UAAAACCAAAUUCAAUCUCAUUCAAUAGCUUCCUUAAUAUCAAUUUGGAAAGCGAAUCAAAGUAAAUAAUUCAAUUUAAUGACACGACCGGUAUAAAUUGAGAGCUUUUACACACUAGAAAGGGGGAGGAAAAAAUACAAACAAAUCACUACACACAAAAUAAAAUCCAACUCUUUCUUUUCACCACAAAAACCAACACACAUGAGCCAUUAAAGUAUUGUUGCAGUUAAAGGUUGCGGUUAGUGUGAAUAUAUCCCGAACCGCAUCGUCAAAAACCAAAUCUGCAGCAACAACACAAACACCAAUAACUUGUUCACCACAAACUUCAGCCACCACUAACACAACUUAAAUCACCAGAUUCACCAGUAAUAUAACAAAAAGGGUUGAGUCCAAAAGGCAUUCACAUAAACGAAAUCGAAACUGAAGAUAGAGAACAACCGAACACAACCUCCACCGUUAACUGUCACACCGCCGUCCGCUCUCAGCUACGGAACCGCCAGAGGACGUCGUGCCACCUCUCUCUGAUGAGUCAAGCCGUCACAAGCUCUCCUCCAUAAAUUCGUUGCAAACCGAGAUCGCACAACUCCGACGCGAUUUUGCAGCUCCGGCGAAGGCACGGUAUAUCAUUCUUUCCUUUUGAUUCUUGAUUUUGAUUAACAAACUGAUUAUUAUAACAGGGAUGGAGCUUGAUGCUUGCUUUGAUUGCUGAAACUAGAAAAAGUGUGGCUUUGAAUUUUUUCUAAAAGUUUGUGUUUGAUUUUGAGAUAGGGUACCCUUUUCUAAUUCUAAGUAAUACUGAUUACUUACUGUAUUUUGGGUUUUCACGUUUGUUCUCAUUGAUUGCAUUAAUUCCUUUUUCCUUUUAUUUUAUUUUAUUGGGAAAAUACAUGUGUCUAAUUAUCAUAGGGGCAUGUUGGGUUGAAAAAGUCAUAGCUACCACCAUAAAGGUGGUCCGCCCCAUGUGGCAAUUUGUUUUUCUUUUUAAUUAUUAUUUUUCUCUUAUAAUUAAUUUUAUUAAAAUUAGGGUUAAAGAUAUGAAAUCGGAUCUUGGACUCUAUCCUUGCUAUUCACAAUCCGCUUUGUUUUAUUUAUUUAUUUAUAGUUAA
rnacentral:lncRNA from 1 species